rnacentral:rRNA from 1 species
AGAGUUUGAUCAUGGCUCAGAUUGAACGCUGGCGGAAUGCUUUACACAUGCAAGUCGAACGGCAGCACGGGGGCAACCCUGGUGGCGAGUGGCGAACGGGUGAGUAAUACAUCGGAACGUGCCCAGUCGUGGGGGAUAACGUAGCGAAAGCUACGCUAAUACCGCAUACGAUCUCUGGAUGAAAGCGGGGGACCGCAAGNNCUCGCGCGAUUGGAGCGGCCGAUGGCAGAUUAGGUAGUUGGUGGGGUAAAGGCUCACCAAGCCGACGAUCUGUAGCUGGUCCGAGAGGACGACCAGCCACACUGGGACUGAGACACGGCCCAGACUCCUACGGGAGGCAGCAGUGGGGAAUUUUGGACAAUGGGCGCAAGCCUGAUCCAGCCAUUCCGCGUGCAGGAUGAAGGCCCUCGGGUUGUAAACUGCUUUUGUACGGAACGAAAAGGCUUUCUCUAAUACAGAGGGCUGAUGACGGUACCGUAAGAAUAAGCACCGGCUAACUACGUGCCAGCAGCCGCGGUAAUACGUAGGGUGCAAGCGUUAAUCGGAAUUACUGGGCGUAAAGCGUGCGCAGGCGGUUAUGUAAGACAGGUGUGAAAUCCCCGGGCUUAACCUGGGAACUGCAUUUGUGACUGCAUAGCUAGAGUACGGUAGAGGGGGAUGGAAUUCCGCGUAGCAGUGAAAUGCGUAGAUAUGCGGAGGAACACCGAUGGCGAAGGCAAUCCCCUGGACCUGUACUGACGCUCAUGCACGAAAGCGUGGGGAGCAAACAGGAUUAGAUACCCUAGUAGUCC